AUGGACGCGGAGGUUUUCAAGGCCCUGCUCCAGUUCAUCUACACGGACUCACCUCCCGUGAUCCUGUCGGCGUCGAUGGCGGAGAGGCUGCUCGUCGCGGCGGACAGGUACAAGCUGGAAGAGUUGAAGCUCGUCUGCGAGGACGCAUUGUGCUGGCACGUCGACAUGAGCUCCGUGGCUGUCAGUCUAGCGUUGGCGGAGAAGCAUGAUUGCUCCGCUCUGAGGGCGGCAUGCAUCCAGUUCCUCUCUUGUCCGGGGAACCUGGAAUCGUUCAUGGCAUCGGAUGGGUUUGAGAAGAUAAGGACGUGUUGUCCCUGUCCCUCUGCUCUCAUGGACCUUGUCCUCAAGAAGAUUACUAAAGUAUAG
rnacentral:rRNA from 1 species